AUGCAUAGAUCUGCAAGCUGGAACAGAUUCUCUGAUGAUUACUUCAAACAUGUAACAAGUAGUAGUUCUUCAUCAUUAUCUCCAGCACUUAAAUCAUCAAGUAACAAUUUGCCUACAUAUGAUCCUAUUCUAGAGUUGGCUAAGAGGGAGAAAGCACGUGUUAAAUUCUCUGAGAAUGCAGUGCAUGCCAUCCCUUUUGUUUUGCUUCUUUGUGCUGUCAUUCUUUGGAUCUGUUCAAGUCCAG